AGCAGCCGCGGUAAUUCCAGCUCCAAUAGCGUAUAUUAAAGUUGUUGCAGUUAAAAAGCUCGUAGUUGAAUUUCGGGGUUAGUAGGUUGGUCAUGCCUCUGGUAUGUACUGGUCUCACUGAUUCCUCCUUCCUGAUGAACCUUAAUCCCAUUAAUUUGGUGUUUUGGGGAAUUUGGACUGUUACUUUGAAAAAAUUAGAGUGUUUAAAGCAGGCAUUUUUGCUUGAAUACAUUAGCAUGGAAUAAUAAAAUAGGACGGCAUGAUUCUAUUUUGUUGGUUUCUAGGAUCACCGUAAUGAUUAAUAGGGAUAGUUGGGGGCAUUAGUAUUCAAUUGUCAGAGGUGAAAUUCUCGGAUUUAUUGAAGACUAACUACUGCGAAAGCAUUUGCCAAGGAUGUUUUCAUUAAUCAAGAACGAAAGUUAGGGGAUCGAAGACGAUCAGAUAUCGUCGUAGUCUUAACCAUAAACUAUGCCGACUAGGGAUCGGAUGAUGUUAAUUUUUUAAUGACUCAUUCGGCGCC
rnacentral:rRNA from 1 species